rnacentral:rRNA from 1 species
UGGGGAAUAUUGGACAAUGGGCGAAAGCCUGAUCCAGCCAUGCCGCGUGUGUGAAGAAGGUCUUCGGAUUGUAAAGCACUUUAAGUUGGGAGGAAGGGCAGUAAGCGAAUACCUUGCUGUUUUGACGUUACCGACAGAAUAAGCACCGGCUAACUCUGUGCCAGCAGCCGCGGUAAUACAGAGGGUGCAAGCGUUAAUCGGAAUUACUGGGCGUAAAGCGCGCGUAGGUGGUUCGUUAAGUUGAAUGUGAAAGCCCCGGGCUCAACCUGGGAACUGCAUCCAAAACUGGCGUGCUUGGGUAAGGCAGAGGGUGGUGGAAUUUCCUGUGUAGCGGUGAAAUGCGUAGCUAUAGGAAGGAACACCAGUGGCGAAGGCGACCACCUGGGCUCAUACUGACACUGAGGUGCGAAAGCGUGGGGAGCAAACAGG